CAGUUUCUGCUACAGCUGAAUAUAUCACCCCCCUCAGCUCCUGCACCUCCGAGUCACUCCCUCCCUCCUCUGUUCCCUUGAAAGCAGUUAGCCCCGCCCCCUGGAGGCGGAGAUCCAGCCCAGGCCCAUGAUUACCAGGGCAGUGUGAGGAGGAUUACUGGGGUUGCCUGCAAGGAAUCACACCGCGGGAGGAGGAGAGACUAUGGCUGGAGACUGAUGGACAGACCCCUUGAAGUGCUGAGACACCAUGACAACUGAGGGGAUUGUGGAUCCUCACUUUGGGGGCUGGCCAAUAGAACUAGUGGUGGCACGACCGACACUGCGGAGAUGCGCCGUUGGGGUGGUGAUGCUGGUGCUGGAGCCUCAAGACGGCGUCUCUUGGGUGGCCUCGUUGCCACACUAACCGAGCCCUGUGAUGGGCACCUUAGUGUAGGUGGAUUUGCCGAAGAAGAACCUGUGUGAUAAGAUAAUCAUUAACAUUUUGUGUUUCUAUGUGUUUGCAGAAUAUGUGUAUACAGUUAAAUCUUACCGGCAUUGCCACCAUCUGCAUCUCUUGGCAGUGUUGGCUGUGGCCUGGCUGUGCUGCUUCUCUGGCGUACUGUAGAAAUAUGAAGAAUGUCCUUAUGAACAUACUAUUUUGGUGAUAUGUUUUUGCAAAUUCCUUAUUGUGAUGUAAACAUAUGUGGUACCUGAUGAGAAUAAAACUAAACGAUGCUUAUGGUUUUCGGCAUGA